UCAGUGCUACUAUUACUUGCAUUCUUAUCUUCUUCUUUUUUUGGGGGGUCAUUUUACAUUUCUACUAUUUAUCAACUCCAGGAAAGUUUCUCAAGGACUCAACAGAACAAUAAUGGAUCUUAAGCUUGGUUUUUAUGUUCUCUCCCUAAAUAUCCUAAUUCAGCUGGUUGCUUAUGGAGCAGAAGCUAGGAAAAUGGUUGAAGGGAACCUGCAGGG